rnacentral:lncRNA from 1 species
AUUUAUCGAAUGAAUCGGCAAAAUGGAUUGGUUGAAUCGUCCGGCCAUUGGUUAUUUCAAAAUUAUUGAAGUGCAUUAGUCUAUGACCUUCUAAAAAUCAAAUUUUGGCCUCAAUUUAUUUAUCGUCUCAAUAGGAGGAAUCAUUUGUGAAUUUCUUCAAAUUAAUGUCCUUUACGCAAGGGAUUUUUACCAAUUUUUGAUAAAAUGGCCAAAAAGUGAUUAUUAGACGCUCAUAUUCCAAA